GGAACAAUGUAGGCAAGGUAAAUCAGCAAAACGGAUCCGUAACUUCGGGAAAAUGAUUGGCUCUGAGGACUGGCUCGGGGGUCCAGGCCGCGAACCCGUCGGCUGUCGGCGGAUUGCUCACGCGACGAGAGCGGGUCGCCGCAUGUCGGCCGGGGGACGGACCGGGAAUCGCCCUUCGGGGGCUUUCCUCGAGCAUGAAAUGGUCGACUCAUAACUGGUACAGACAAAGGGAAUCCGACUGUUUAAUUAAAACAAAGCAUUGCGAUAGUCCUCCCAGGUGCUGACGCAAUGUAAUUUCUGUCUAGUGCUCUGAAUGUCAAAGUAAAAAAAAAAUCCAACCAAGCAUGGGUAAACGGCGGAAGUAACUAUGACUUUCUUAAUGUAGCCAAACACCUCGUAAUCUAAUUAGUGACGGGCAUGAAUUGACGAGAUUCCUACUAUCCUGUCUACUAACC
rnacentral:rRNA from 1 species